CGUUACUGUUCUUGUUCUUCAGUCUUGUAUGUUUCAUCAAUUUGCAAAUGAAUUGCUUAAACCUUUUUAUAGGCGUUGAAGAAGUAGACUGUUGUAGUAGUACACACGUCACUUUCAUUGUCAGUUGUCGUAACGGCAAGAAACGAUUGUGGGAGACAAAUAGUUCACAAUACAUCUACUUAAAUGGAAUGUGUAAUUGA